UACGGAGGGUGCAAGCGUUGUUCGGAAUUACUGGGCGUAAAGCGCGUGUAGGCGGUUGAGCAAGUCAGAUGUGAAAGCCUCUCGCUUAACGGGAGAAGUGCAUUUGAAACUACUCGGCUAGAGUUUGGGAGAGGAAAGUGGAAUUCCCGGUGUAGAGGUGAAAUUCGUAGAUAUCGGGAGGAACACCGGUGGCGAAGGCGGCUUUCUGGCCCGAUACUGACGCUGAGACGCGAAAGCGUGGGGAGCAAACAGG
rnacentral:rRNA from 1 species